UUGUCCGGAGUUACUGGGCGUAAAGGGCACGCAGGCGGUGCGGCGCGUUUCGCGUGACAGCGGAGGGCUUAACUCUCCGAGGAUGCGAAAGACGGCGGCACUUGAGGGCCAGAGAGGGACACGGAAUUCCGGGUGGAGUGGUGAAAUGCGUAGAGAUCCGGAGGAACACCGAAGGCGAAGGCAGUGUCCUGGCUGGUGACUGACGCUGAGGUGCGAAAGCUAGGGGAGCAAACAGG
rnacentral:rRNA from 1 species